AUACUUUACCUGGCGCGCGGGGGAUACCGUGAUCAAGAAGGCGGUGCCUCCAGCCGGACGAGGCCUGUACAUUGGCACUCCGUAUGGGCUGACUCCUGCGACUACCCCAAAUCGGGGUGGCUCGAGCGCAUAAUUUUUUGGUAGUGGGGACAAGCGUUCGCGCUGUCCCUU
rnacentral:snRNA from 1 species